rnacentral:sRNA from 1 species
AUUUAGGUUAAGGAUUGUAGCGGCAUCCUUUUGCUUUUUUUCAAAAGAUACAGCGAAAAGCCUGACCUUGU